AUGGGUAGGGGAGCUUCCCAUACGGGUUGAAGCAUGACCGUAAGGACAUGUGGACAGUAUGGGAGUGAGGAUGUUGGCAUGANUAGCGANAUGUGGGUGAGAAUCCCACAGGCCGUAAACCCAAGGUGUCCAGGGGAAGGUUCGUCCGCCCUGGGUUAGUCGGGACCUAAGCUGAGGCCGAAAGGCGUAGGUGAUGGACAACAGGUUGAUAUUCCUGUACUACCGAUAACCGUUUGAGAGA
rnacentral:rRNA from 1 species